UCGGAUUGCAGCCUGCAACUCGGCUGCAUGAAGCUGGAAUCGCUAGUAAUCGCGGAUCAGAACGCCGCGGUGAAUGCGUUCCCGGGUCUUGUACACACCGCCCGUCACACCAUGGGAGUCGGAAAUGCCCGAAGUCGGUGACCCAACCGUUUAUGGAGGGAGCUGCCGAAGGCAGGUCUGGUGACGUGGGGUGAAGUCGUAACAAGGUACC
rnacentral:rRNA from 1 species